AGGUUCAGGAAGUUUUGAGUUGUUUUUGAUCCAUCCGAAUGGAACUGGUUUGAGGAAGUUGGUUCAAAGUGGGUCGGCUGGGCGGGCUAACCACCCUUAUUUUAGCCCCGAUGGAAAUAGUAUUGUGUUUACCUCAGAUUAUGGGGGCAUAUCAGCUGAGCCAAUCUCAAACCCCCAUCAUUAUCAGCCUUAUGGAGAGAUCUUCACGGUUAAAUUGGAUGGCUCUGAUUUGAAGAGGUUGACACA
rnacentral:lncRNA from 1 species